rnacentral:lncRNA from 1 species
GUUGUCCAGUUUAGUCUUGAACCUAUGAACCCAGGUGAUCUUUCUGCCUCAGCCUUUUCUCCAAAUUGCUUUAGUAAUAUUGAUUAGAUUGAUUUAUCGCAGCGACAGAAAAAGCAAGCAAGGACAGAGAGUGGAAGACUGGGGUUUUGGAGGGGAAGAGGAGAAAGGUGGCCUGUCCCUGAGAAGAGAAAGAGCAGGCAAGCAUUCUGUGCAGAGCAAGUCAGGGUAGGGGCAGCGGAUUUGAAAUGGAUUCUGUAAGAGUCGGAGAACUGGUCUCACUUGUCACAGUUCCAUACACAGGUUGAGACCUCCAGGAGGAGAACAGAGCCUGUGGGGGCCUGGCCCUGAGUGCUGUGGACCCAAACACAGCAGCAAGAUUCCUUAUGUAGGCCUGCGAACAAAAGAAGGACUCUCCUGAGAGUGUCUCAGAAUUCUGCCAAGAUAAAAGGGUCCCAUCAGACAUCGAAGGACAAGCAGAUAGCAGCACAGCAGCGAAGAGGCCAAAGACCAGACAUGCCUCCGUUUUUAAGCUACUGUGUGAGCCUGAUGCCCUAGAAUUAUGGAGUGGCACUCAGGCCUGAGUUCCAGCAAGUACCGCGGGCGGUGACUGCACCACUGUAACAGACGGAAUUGAUGGGAAAAUGCCUACUUCCCCAAGGACCCUGAGUGGCUCUUGCUGCCCUGACUGCGCCCUGGGAGUUGUCUUCAGGGUCCCUCAGAAGCCCUCACAAUCUACAACUACAAGAGAAACUCUUGCUUCAGCAAGGCAUAUCUGAGGCGCUUCUCUGGAAUUUAUGCCAGUGACCAUCCUGAGUGGCCCGGGGAGUGGUUGGACAGCUGGGUGGAUUUUGGAGUCCCAAUCCUGGAGAGCAAGUCUCGAUUCUUGUUCUCCACACGUCACCGGAAAGCAUCCAGGCUCAGCGCACUUCUCCGUUCCUCGCUGCUUCUUACCUUACUUCUGAUCACGAGCUCCCUUCUGUUUUGAAUUCCUUGGAGCCCGUCUCCCUUCAUUGGACAUACAACUGUAUGCAAUCUCAGUUUUGAUACAACUUUCCCAGCUUGUGAUGUAUAUUUCUCUAGUUUUCUUUGAACCCCCCCAGUGUGAAACAUAUCUAAUACAACGUUUUGUACUCUUCAUGACACAUAGCUGUCGGGGAUUCAAAUCACAAGAUAGAAUGUAAUACGCCCCGGGGAGUGGGUGGACCCCAUAUACCCUUGAAACAGAAGGAUGUUGCUGAGAUGGUCCAGUGCCUUACCCUGUCACUCAGAUGCUCAGUCAGAAAAUAAAAGCUCUGGUUGAACUGGCUUUGAACUGUCCCUCAGGGCCUUCAUGCUUUCCCAACAGCCCUCACAGAGUCACUUCCACUAUGUCGCAGUCACCUGGGGAUGACACUCUAAAGACUCUUCAUUCUGAGAACAUUGAACAAAAGUUUUUGUGUUUUGGGAAAGGACCCUUGCACUCCCUACACAUGACUUUUCUACCCUGGGGUGGUUCUUGAAGACAACUUCCCCAAGCAGUCGUCAGAAGGGGUGCUCACACUGUCUCUUGUCACAUGUGGUUCAUAUGCUCAGCCACAGCUCAGUCAUGCGUAUGUGCUCUGGCCCUUGUGACAUCUCCUGAGGCCAGCAGGAUGCUGGCAAGCCCAGUGUCUGCUCAAACUUAUCUUUUAGUUUCUCUUCAGAGUCUCAGAAAAACACAGGUGGAAAUCUGCGCUCGAUAUUGCGGGAAACACAAGUUGUAUGUAUAAAAUUUUGCCAAAACCCCAGUGAAAUUCUAAAAUUUAAACAUAUUUUAAAAAAAUAAUGUUUAAAUGUUUUUAUGCUGAAAAUACUCAAAUUGUGCUUGCCUCUCAAAUACAGUGAGAAUAAAAAUUGCUUACAGUCUCA